GACGGAGCAAAGCCUGGUGGGCCCAAAAGCCAGCCCCUCGGAGAGCGAAAAGGAACGGGCCAAGACCGCAGACUCCAGCCCAGACACCUCGGAUAAUGAAGCUAAAGAGGAGAUAAAGGCAGAAAACACCACAGGAAAUUGGCUGACAGCAAAGAGCGGAAGGAAGAAGAGAAAUUCCACACAGAAGAACAAAAACAUUAAAAAAUAGAACAUAGCAAAGUAAAAACAAAUUCCACCCCCACCCCAAGUUG
rnacentral:lncRNA from 1 species